UUUUAUGCUUCAGGUGAGACAGAUCCUCUUUCCUCAUCCCACAGGUGGGAACAGGGGUGCAGAGUGAUGUGGAGGUUCCUCUUUCCCCAUCCACCACUGGUCCCUGCGUGCUGCAGGGCAUUGCCUGCCCGGUGCUGCCUUCCGCUUUUCUCCAGACCCAAAAUAGCCCCCGGACAACGGUGGGGGGACGCCAGGAGCGACACUUCCUCUUUCUGAGACACCACUGUAGCUGCUGGGGAAGCUGGAGUCCCCUCGCUCCCACCACAAACGACAAACGCCCUCAGGAGCCAUGGGAACAAUCUCAGCUGGAGCAAGUCAGACUCUCCUUCUCUGAGGCCACUUUGGAAGAUCACACCCCUCUUUCUGGAAAUGGGUCCCUUAAUUCUGCUGUCUUAUCCCGGCUCCAAAACAGCUCCUGGGGACAGGUACUCUGUGUCAGCCACCAGUGCUGCCCUGACUGUGGGGUUUCUCUCUGGGCCCCACCUCGUCAUCUCUUGUUUCCACCCUCGUCACUGGGAAUUCCCCCAGCAGCAUUAGGGGUGAACUUGCUCAUCUCUGCAGUCACAGCAGUGUCCAGGGAGCCACCAGUGCCAUGGGGCAUGAGGGACUGUCCCGUUCCAGCCCCACAGCAGCACCCUGCUCCCCACAAACCCAUCCCUGUGCCCAAGAACACCUCAGGAGCAUGCAGGGGACAUGGAGGGAUGUGGG
rnacentral:lncRNA from 12 species